UGCCUCGAAUUAUUUGUAUAAUUUACUUGCAAACAGAGGGAACGGGAACGAUUUAUCUUUUACAGCAUAGAAAAUUUGAUACAAUGUUUCUGACGAUAUUUUCUCUCUCUUUAUUUUCUGAUUUUGUGCAUUCAGAAAACAAGAGUUUCAAUUUUACCUCGUUCUGCACGUGUCCCUCGUCCGGAAAGCUAUACAAGCCGUACUGUGGUCACGAAAUUUCGACGACAAAUCCGGACUGUAUGACACAUGCGAUCUACGAGUGCAUCAACGGCCCCAACAAGGUCGCCAUUGUGACGCAAUAUUGUAAAAAUUCUCGAUGUGGUCAAGUUGGAGUUGGCAAUAGAUUUACUCCAGAUUGCUUAGAUCCGCAAAAGGGAAAAUAUUUUAAGGAUAUCGAAUCCGGAAAGACUGCUAAGUACGAAGGCUGCUGGUUCCCUAAACGUGAAGAUGGCUACAAAUACGCGGACAGGACGUUUUACUACGACACGAGAAAGGACGACGAUACUCUCUUCCACAUCUAUCGCAGAACUGGGGGCAACGAAUGGGUCAAUACCACUUUCCGCCAGUAACCCAUCUUUUCAUGCAUAAUCUUUCAAUUUAUUCCCCACACCAUCUUCGUCGCGAUCGUGAUUGUGUGUAUUUUAUCUCAUACAAGUUUUCUCAAGACGAAUUUUUCAACGAAAUUCCUUCCGCAGCUAAUGCAUAACUUGAUAUUCAUGGAUAAAAAAUAUAGCCGAAAUUCCAAACUAAUGACGCUACUAACCUUUCUUUAGACAGUUAUAAUUUUAUUGUUAACUUCGGCAGCUUCAAGAUAGGUAAUUUAAUUAGUUAAUCAAGUAUUUAGUGAUAGCAUGUGUUGCUCAUACGAUUUGGAAGAUGCUGGGUAUGAAGAACCGGUACUUUAAUUAAUUAAUAACGAUGCAUGGGCGAAAAAGCUCACUUUCUCCAGCCUUAUUUUAUGCAUACAUACACAGCUCUUUGUUCCACAUCAUUUUAAAACUUCGCAAUUAAGAACUUGGUUAGAUGCCGAACUUGAGGUUAUGAAUAAUUGCAAACUGUACAUAUGCAAAUAAGCUUCAAUGAAAUUUUAAUUAGUUAUUGAAUAUUCAAGUCUAUGAAAAAUGUUGCUUUGGUUCAAAAUCAUGCUGGCCAGGAACUCACAAAGUCCUAUAAAAUGUGUCAUAAAUUUUAACAAGCUUGCAUUGUUCAACACUGUUUAGUUCCUGUUAUUCCUUAAUUUUAUUGCUAUUGCAUUAAUUUUAAGUAUAUGCUUAAAGUAACCAAGUAUGUAUGUACGUACUCAUGAAAUUAAACAAGCUCACUUUGAGUGUACAAAUUUCUUACAGUCAGAGGAAACGGGAUCAAUUUAUCUUUUAAGGCGUAGGAAAUUUGAUAAAACGUUUCUAACGAUAUUUUCGCUCUUCUUAUUUUCUGAUUUUGUGCAUCCAGAAAAUACGAGUUUUAAUUUUACUUCGUUCUGUACCUGUCACUCUGCUGGAAUAGAACGUGAGUACUACUGCGGUCACGAAAUUUCGACGACGAAUCCGGACUGCAUGACGCAUGCGCUCUACGCCUGCAUCAACGGUCCCAACAAAGUCGCUAGAGUGUGGAAAUAUUGUGAAAAUUCGCGUUGUGGCCAAGUCGGAGUCGGCAAGAGACACACUCCUGACUGUAUAGAUCUCCAUAAAGGAAAAUAUUUCUUUAGAGAAUCCGGAAAGACUCCUAAAUGUGAAGGCUGCUGGUUCCUUAAACGCGAAGAUGGCUACAAAUACGCGGACAGGACGUUUUACUACGACUCGAGAAGGGACGACGACACGCUCUCCCAUAUCUUUCGCAGAACUGGCGAUAACGGAUGGGUCAAUACCACCUUCCGGCAGUGACGCACUGUCGCCCACUUGCAGUGAUCAUUUUCAAUCUAAACAUUCCCCACACCAUCUUCCUUAUUGCGAUUGUGAUUGCAAAUAUUUUAACAUGCAUAUGAAAGUUUUCCCAGAGCAAAAUUUUCAAUGAAAUUCCUUACGUUUGUAGGUAAUAAAUAAUUUGAUAUUCAAGAGGAGAAUUUUCAGAUCGUAUGGAUGACAUUUUGUAGUGAUUUAUUCAAACACAAGCUUUCGGAAACUAACU